GAAAUGCGAUAAGUAAUGUGAAUUGCAGAAUUCAGUGAAUCAUCGAAUCUUUGAACGCACAUUGCGCCCGCCAGUAUUCUGGCGGGCAUGCCUGACCGAGCGUCAUUUCAACCAUCAAGCCCCCGGGCUUGUGUUGGGGACCUGCGGCUGCCCGCAGGCCCUGAAAACCAGUGGCGGGCUCGCUGUCACACCGAGCGUAGUAGCAAUCACCUCGCUCAGGGCGUGCUGCGGGUUCCGGCCGUUAAACAGCCUUACAAAACCCAAGGUUGACCUCGGAUCAGGUAGGAAGACCCGCUGAACUUAAGC
rnacentral:misc_RNA from 1 species